GCUUGUUACAUAAGUUAUUACAAAGAGACUGAUUAGAGGCUGACCUAAGAGCACAACAGCACGACCAAUAUACAUGUAUGUAUAUGGAGGAAAACGGGCAAAGACGUCGCCUCGACACGGGAUGGUCUCUUCUUAACCUGUGUUCUGCAUACCAGCAGCAAUACCCUUCAUCGUUAAAAUGAGGGUGUCUUCCAAACCAGGGGCAUACUCGCUCUGCGGAUUGAGCUUCACAAGUUCUGCAGCAGGUUUGCUUGAUUCAAGGUAUUCUUUUGACAAGUGAGGUCUAACUUUCACGUUGUAGUUUGGAUCACGGAUCCGCUUCAAUGUGUAUGCUUGGCAAACGUUAAGAGUGGUUAUGUAAGAAUCACGAAGACGGAGUCGCUGCCUCAAGUAAGGAUCUCCUUCAAGAAGAUCCUUGUGUUUAGCUACCUGAAGGAGAAGGUGCUUAGUUUCUUCAUAGUUAGCCCUCAAUCGCUCUCCGAACGACCAUAGAUCUUCG
rnacentral:misc_RNA from 1 species